rfam:Giardia intestinalis strain GS GS_B_0041, whole genome shotgun sequence.
CCCCACUUAGCUCAGUUGGUAGAGCGUUCGGCUGUAGAGUCCGCAGUCACCGAACGGUCGCUGGUUCGAAUCCGGCAGUGGGGA